rnacentral:rRNA from 1 species
AGAGUUUGAUCCUGGCUCAGGACGAACGCUGGCGGCGUGCUUAACACAUGCAAGUCGAACGGAAAGGCCCUUCGGGGUACUCGAGUGGCGAACGGGUGAGUAACACGUGGGUGAUCUGCCCUGCACUUUGGGAUAAGCCUGGGAAACUGGGUCUAAUACCGAAUAGGACCACGCGCUUCAUGGUGUGUGGUGGAAAGCUUUUGCGGUGUGGGAUGGGCCCGCGGCCUAUCAGCUUGUUGGUGGGGUAAUGGCCUACCAAGGCGACGACGGGUAGCCGGCCUGAGAGGGUGACCGGCCACACUGGGACUGAGAUACGGCCCAGACUCCUACGGGAGGCAGCAGUGGGGAAUAUUGCACAAUGGGCGCAAGCCUGAUGCAGCGACGCCGCGUGAGGGAUGACGGCCUUCGGGUUGUAAACCUCUUUCAAUAGGGACGAAGCGCAAGUGACGGUACCUGGAGAAGAAGCACCGGCCAACUACGUGCCAGCAGCCGCGGUAAUACGUAGGGUGCGAGCGUUGUCCGGAAUUACUGGGCGUAAAGAGCUCGUAGGUGGUUUGUCGCGUUGUUCGUGAAAACUCACAGCUUAACUGUGGGCGUGCGGGCGAUACGGGCAGACUAGAGUACUGCAGGGGAGACUGGAAUUCCUGGUGUAGCGGUGGAAUGCGCAGAUAUCAGGAGGAACACCGGUGGCGAAGGCGGGUCUCUGGGCAGUAACUGACGCUGAGGAGCGAAAGCGUGGGGAGCGAACAGGAUUAGAUACCCCGGUAGUCCAA